UGUACAUAAGUCUCGUGCACAUAGUUUACGGAUAUACACAUUGACGGUGGUCAUAACUUAAGACGAUGUUUACGUGGUGCGAUUGUUCCAGCACAACUGAGUGAAUAUGAAACACGCCAAGUUGACUGAGGCUGAGGUAACAGCGAGAAACCUGUGUUGCUGUCGCUGUCACCAUAUAAAAAUGGAUACACCACCGUAACGGAGCUACUUGCUCGAAGUUUCCUUGCCUUUUGAGGGCCAGCUUGAAAAUGACGUGAGCUGUUUGAAGCUAUUUUAUUAUUUUCUUAGUUGCAACGUUUUCUCCCUUGAGUUUGAUUCAGAAUCAGCCGGCAAACUGCACGCGGCAUCGUACACAGAAAGUGGAGAUAUUACCAGCCAGAAACAAGUAGAUGUCAUAGGUGGUUCUACGAAGCAUAAAAGGCGUCAUACAUAACCCAUUGAAGAAUGCCGUACUAGCUGAGCUAGACUUAGCAUAGUGGAAUAUCCCUCAACGAAUCCGUCCAGAACUCCCGUCCCCGGGCCUCAGUUUGAAGCUAAGCUAAUCGCUAUUAUGCUACCGGCAGUAAAUGGAAAAAGGACGCACUAGCCAUUUGGUGACAAAAUGUCCUCAGCUGAACAAUUGUAGACCUUAAACCACAGAUUCGCAAGUAACACUGCAGCAACUGACUCACCAUUGUAUUGUAUGUACAAAUACAUACACGAUUUUCAUCUUUUCUCGUCCACGUUACCAUUACUAUUGUUAUAAUAUCCUUAUUAUUAUUAUAAUACAUAUACAUAUAAUAUACAUUUAUAUGUAUGUCUAUCUGAGACCGUCCAGACAAGUCUCCGCCCAUAUCAGCAGUCCGUCCAUAUCAACAGAAUUCAACUCACUGCUUAGCGAGAGACUUACUCCGUGGCUGACAGCAAAUAUAGAGGAAGACGAAAAGGAUCCUUCAAAGUAAGAAGAAUCGCUAAGUCCGUUCUUGCAUCGGCUUCUGGCUUCGUUCCGUGUUGAGCGGAGUCGUGCAAAGAAUAAAGCGAAGUCAACCACAGGAAAACUGGAGCAGAAUUUGAAAUGAAUGGGUUCGCAAGCGAAGCUAUAGAAAGAAUCCUCUUUGAGAAGAUGAGGAAGGCUGUGAAUGACGACACGAAGACGAUCUCAUACAUGAUGGAAAUGAAAAAAGAGUUAUAAAUAGAAGGGAUCGUACAAGGAAAGAAAUAGAGAACGAGCCAGAGGCAGAGAGGACGGCCGACUGUCGGCUCCUAUACAAACGUAGGUAUCUGUACAUGGAGAUGCAAUGGGGGAAAACGUCGUCUUUGUUUUCCAGCAAGCAUCGUUCAUAUUGUAUGGGGAAUAGCGCUGCCUCUUACGGUAUACAUGUUGCAAGAAUAAGGAGGUAGCUUGAACUGCAUGAAGCAGCAAGCGGUCAUAAUAGAACAUAUAUAGAUGGGUGAACGAGUUUUAAGGUUCUAAGCGACCAUUGUGGCAGUACUCAUUUAACUGAACGUUUUACGAAGACGCAGAAUACAAACAGCAAACAAAUUCAGAAUAAGGAAAAGAACUCAGGUUAAAAUUAAAAAAAAAAAUAAUUCGAGAUAGGAAUAUCGAAGCACUCUGUGUUGGAUAAAGCAAGUACGUUAUUCUAUAAGACUGCGUUCUUGAGGUGCGUCCAACUUUGCCAUGUUACUUGGAGACUGUUCUCUCUAAUCGGCUUAAAGAAACGCUACAACACGCCUACACAUUGCCGCCAAUAUAAAGGAGCCGGUAGUGGUGUGCCGCGACCUAGACAGUGCGGAUUAGCGGGAGAUCCCUCGAAUGGAAAGGAGCUCAAAGCUCCGGGGGGCUGUCGGAGGCCAAUAACACCAACUGCUCCGUAGUCCAUUAUAAAUUCGGCUAUUCUCGACUUUAGCCACUUCAGACAAGUUCCAAAUACGAAGCAGAUCAGGCUGACAGACCUUAUUGUAAACUCACCAACGAUCUUUUGCACUGGUAUGGCUACGAUCAACUAGUGGUGACCAUUGCACCAUUCGCGUUUCUCGAGUGCUUGUGUCAGGGGAAAUCCUGCUUCUCCAAUUGAGCUCCACUUGGUUGAACACACGCGUUCGUCCUCAGAUCAAUGGGCGGUGUUAUUCUGUAACUGUGUGCACAGGUUGCUUGAGUGCUACGCCAGCCCACACAACGAACGAAUCUAACUUCCCCCUGUUCUCUUCCUGAAUCACUACGCUGGGUGGAGCGCCGGGCGAGAGCACUUCGGAUUCCUCUAGACCUUUUGGGAUUUAUAGACCCGCGCUAAUUCACAGACAUACACGCACACCUGUUGAUACCAAACGGCGUUCAACAGUCACUUCCCGUAUCGUUUUAGCGUGUUCUGCAGGAUUUUUCAUACGCAUUUUAAAUUUACUAUUUUAGCCUCCAUUUUUUGGGGUAGAAUCCAGUGCAAAGCAGCAAGUAAAAGAAACGCUUGAACGUGCUUUAAGGUGCCUGUUUCGAAAUGAGUUCUUGUUGGAUCAAACUGUGCUUGUUGUUUUUAUAUCUGGUUGGAGUGAUGCUACUGUCAGUCGCCAUCGACGUGGUUCGACUUUAUCAGUGUAGUUGGAUUGCUUGUCAUGCUGCUGCGACGAACCUAUCAGGAACUUCGGUCCGAAAUGAUAUUAACCAUUUAGAUGUGGGUACACUCGAAGAGAUCCUUCGUCAGAGAGGAAUGCAACUGCCUCAGUCGCAAGAUCUGCUAGCUACCUAUCACUCCCACCAUCAGCAUCCACAACGAAAUCAUUUACGUCAUCACAACGAUACGAAAAAUUAUGUACAUGAAACUGGCUUACAUAUAGGAGCGGAUCGAGAGUCAAGAAAACGAGGCCAUGCAGUCUAUCUAAAUCCAUUCAGUAGUCGAGUAGUCACUUCUUCCUAUAAGGACACACUAGUACACCUCGUACAAAAGACAGGAGCAGUUCAUGUAGACGAGGUGUUGGACAUACACAGUUCGACAAAACCAGAAACAGCGUUAUUGGAGCAGAAAACAGAUGACGGCUUCGCCGGCAAAUCCCUUCGUUCGGGGUCUGAUCUAGAACAGCUAGUAAUGGAAAGGGUAAAUGACAUCGGCUCAAGUUUGUGUCUCUUGAUUUUAAUUCGACUUAGAGGAGGCGUAACUCUCCUUGAAACUAGUUCGUGGCGAGAACUUGUCCACGCCGUCACUCGAUUCGGAAUACAAGCUGCCGUUUUUGAUUGUGCCUCAGAUCCCGCGACUUGUGAACGGAGAAACUGGAUUGUACCUCAACUUGUGCUGGCUUUCCCUAGAAAUCAAACGCCUACACACGUGAAUAGAAGUACUACACAGAAAGCAACAGCAUUGAAAGAGAUGGCGUGGCACAGCUUGUAUAAUCUCCAUAAGACGCGUCAGGUGAUUGGAUGGAUUGCUAAACAACUAGCCAGCAAAGUCCAACGCGUUUACCAGGCCGACUUAUUGUCCUGGAAACGGUUUCCUCAAUCUGGCAGAGGAUCAUCAAAGGCAAAAUUGAAAUUGCUACUCGUGUCUGAUAUUAAUCAGACUCCGGUUCUUCUUUCAGCAAUUGCUCUGCGGUUUCGAGAUCGCAUUGACGUUGGGAUAAUCGACCCGGAUCUAGCAAGUCUAAAUGCUACAUUUCUGCCGGAAGAAACUGUAGAUCGGUCAACGGCCACAUACUUAAUUUUGACCCCUGGCAGUUCAUCAUUGAGUCCUUGUUCUGUUUAUGUGUAUGGAGCAGAGCGUGGUGAAGCUUUGAAUUUUCGACGACUGGAAAUAUUUUUAAAGUUCAGACUACCUGAGGGCCAGGAUCUAUUUGCUCUUAGUUUAACAUUGGUUAAUCUAUUGCUAUGUAUUGAACUAUUUAUUAUUGAAUCAUCGUGUUGCGCAAAACACGUGAUCUCAUGGCUUUGGCGUGUGGCCAAGUACAACGCAACCAUGGUUGCGCUAUGGCUUGUAGCAGUGGCUCUCGCGCAGAUUAAAUUCAAAUGGAUUGAUUGGUUAGCAGACCGAGCCCUAUCUGUCAUUGUUCAGGGGUACUUCUGCGAUUCGAAUGUCGGCCACCUUCUCGUUGCUCAUUGGCCUUUCGUAAGUUCUAUUCGAAUGCUCGCCGUGAGUGUGUUCUUCUUUGGUAGCGCGGUAGGACUUUUCUCUUGGCGUUCCAUUGGUCUGGUUCCUCCGGGACAAAUACAACGAAGACAAAGCCAUGAAACAAAUAGACCUCAACCAGAUCCACCUGCAAGACCACUACUCCAGGAAUCCCCCUAUCCUCGGCCCCGAACACGUCUAUCCUGGAUCGAGCGUAGCAAUCAACACUCUGUGGUCCUCAUCAAUCAAUUUCUCUGGCCCCUACAGCCGACGACCAUUCAGCGUUUAGCACAGAAUUCUCAUACGUCAAUGCCGACGGGCCAGAGCAACCUUAACGAUAACCUCCUGCACUGUCCACUUGCGGCGCUAGAUUACAUUAACCAUCUGCCAAGAUGGCGUUUCACCUAUGAUAGCUCCAUUGCUAAUCGCAUCGUACAGCUCAGUGAAGCAUCCUCAGAUGAGAAGUUUGAAACAGCACUGCUCGAAUAUACGAAAUUUCCGGCUGGUAUGAUACCUUCCCUAGUGUGCAGCAUUUGCCUUGAGCGGUACCGUGGUGCUACCUUGUCUGUGCAAGAAAAACGGCCAGAAAAUUUAAAAACAGUAGAUGAAAAAACUACUGAUGGCCAACAGAUACAGCGCAUCACUGAAUCUGAAGGGGAUACUCUUUGUGGACUACCAUGCGGUCAUAAUUUUCACGCUCAUUGCGUCCGAGCGUGGCUUGCGAGGGACCAAUAUGCAUCGUGUCCUAUAUGCAGGUGGCCGUGUUAUAAACAAAAAGAGCAAUCGCCUAAAAAAAGUCCUGACUCUUGUGGUGAAUGGGACUUAGGCUCCCCUGUUUAGCUACAGGUCUAACAUAUCAAUUGGCUACCUGUCCAAUCGACGUAGGCUUAACGAGCCUAUUCGCAGUACCUGCAAAACGCGGACUUCGAUGGUCAACAUGGGGUUUAUGGGACAAACGUUUGUCAAGAGAAGAAUCAAGCCACGAUUGCCGAAAAUAUAGUCCUAUAGUUAAUAAUAAAUGUCAGAAAUACCCCGGGACGUCUUUAACAAUGGACUAAUGGAGUUGUGUUGAAAUAUAGUCAUUCACAGGUAGUUUAUUUAUCUCUCUCUUUAUCAGUGUUUUUCUUGUAUUUAACUAGGUAUAGUAGACAACACGCAGGAUCCAAAUGUUCAUGCAGCCAAAAUGCUAUUUGCGUUUGCUAUGGGUGUUGAUAUAUUGUUGAAUAAAUACCUUUUUUAAAAUACAGUGCUAACUUAUUCAGAGGUAGUUGUUUGUCAGAAAUGUGUGGCGUUAAAGCCUCGGUAUAGUUGACAGAUUACAGAAGGCACUGGAAGUAGCCUGGAUUACUUAGGGAAGUUUCUCCUUAGCCCUUUACUUAAAUUUUUUUAUAAAUCUGUGAGAAAUUAGAAGACAAAUACUUGAACAGGCAAAGAAUAUUUCGUAGCUAAGUUUACACAUGCGCAAUGGAAGUGAUUCAGACAAUGAAGUGAGCUAUGGAGCUUCAACACCACCAAGCCUGUCGAGCGAAAGUCAGUGCCGUAAUACAUUUACAUAACUGUCGGACGGUUAAGGGCGUGCCACUUGAAUGAUGAUAUAUGUAUAUAUGAUAAACGUUGGCGUAUUAGUAAUGAUCGUUGAAUGCAACGCACGUAGAUCGCCAAUAGAUCAAGCAGACACCUUGUGUUCAGACAUGGCCAACCAACCAGCCAUCCAGCCAGCCAAACAGAAAAUGCAAGACGCGGAAUCGAACGACCCGUACACAGAGAUACACAGAUCUGGUCUAAGGGGUGGCUGUCAGCCAUGGUCACUGACCAUGAUGUAUAAUAAUUCCAUCAUCAUUUCGCCGGCUAGAGCUACAUUAUUACAUUAAUCACAUCCCGAUGAUGAAGAACAAGACAAGAACAGUGAAAGGCGAAAGGGAGGGCGGAAACGAGAGUAAGGCGGUGGCAUAGACAUAGGGGCAAUUAGUGGGGCCGAGCUGGAAGGGUCCGCGCAAUUGACACCAGAGGUAUAGAUUCGAUCGUUAGCUAAGAUGGCUGACACUUCACAAUGUCUCUUGGCCCGUAUAUACAUGGAUCCGUGAAACAUUUUUGAUGUCUUCCCUGCUCGUUAUUUUAAAUUGUAAAAAACUGAGGCCCCCGAGUGAAAAUAAGCAAAAGACCUAGAUUCUGUUAGGUUUUCUCGAUUAAUUCGCUACGAAUAAACGUAGUCAACGUGCGUGGUUUGAGGUGAAAAAAGAGGAAGCCCAUCUUUCACACAAACUCAACCUCAACAGUUGUAAAGUUGAAGAUUGGCGUUCUUAGCGCAGCGAGGUUCCUUAAUAUAUCCUGUUUAGCAUUACAAGCAUUAUUUCGCCUGUUACGUUAUAAAACAGAAGACGACUGGUGUUAUAACCACUAGAAUACUCGAUGUACAGACAACUGAGUGAACUUUUCUCAGAAUUUUAUUCAGCACUUCUUCCUAAAAAUUAACGUAUUUGAUGCUUUCUUUUCUAAAAUGCAGCUCGACUAGUUCAUCUUACAUUUCAAGUAUGCUUCCUGAUGUAAAAUACAUUUUACUAUGUCUUUAAAACGUAUUUAUUUUUCUGUACAUAUAGAUUUCCGUAGAAUAGGAAAAUCGUUCGAGUUUCUUCGUCAGAUAUAGCCAAGCUUCAAUGAACAACACCUAGACGAAGUGCUAUAUAGCAUACUGUGUUUCCAUAUGAAUCCUCAGCUGAUAUUCAUAAAAAUAUUGGUUAACUGCGUCGAAAAGGCGUGGACCCGCGUAGAUAUAGAUAUGUGACUUGCUCGAGGUGGCUGAAAGGCAUGAGAGGAUGCUUGCUCAUUUCCGCAGAGAGAUUCGGUCGGACUGCCAAGUGUCUCGCCGAUCUGUUUCAUACACUCAUUCAGAUAUAGUUUGUUCAGGAUUCCUCUAUACAAAUGAUAUGCUAUUUAGGGUGAUUCUCUACAGAUUUACGAUGUGUGAUAUACAAUCGACACAUUUAUUUUAUGACCACACCCUUAUCAUAGGGCACUAAAAUGAACACGAAUAAAUUCAA